GCCAGAGCUCGGGACUGGUGCUGACCUGCAGGAUGGAGGGGAGAAAAGAAGACUCAUCAACAGAACAAAUGUUGCUGGAACAUUACUUAUAAUGGCAAUAAUUGGAAACAAUCAAAGGAUGUCACUAUAGGGACUUGGGUUAAGAAAAUUAUGACACAUCAAAAGCACAGUGAAGAGAACUUCUGUCAAUCCUGUCAAGCACAUGAAGAUGUGAAGUUUCAACUGGAUUCAUUUCUAUAAAUAAAGGCUACGAGAAGAUCUGGUUAAGAGUAUCCUAAGGGAGGAUCUAAGCCUGUUCAUACUCUACAAGCAAAGAAACAUUAAAAAACAAAACAGAAAACCAAAACUUGAAGAAACGAAGUGACCAGUUCACUACCAUUCAACUAAUAAUGGAUAGAGCCAGGACUCAGUAUCUAGUCAUGUGAUGACAAAGCCCGCACUCUUACUGUACAGCCUCACCUUGGAUAAAUCUCAUUUCAAGACAGGUAAUUUUGAGAAUAUCUUAGGCCCCCCUUCUAUCAAAGAGAGGGAUCGAAUUUAAAAUUUAUCUGGAAUGCCAACUCUGAUUAACUCCCUGGAGAGAGUCCCUGGAGGACUGGUUGAGAAGAACCCUGAGGAUGCAUCAGUGUUCAUCAGGAAAGAGCGCCAACACCCAGCGUGCCCACUCAUGAGCAGGGAGGAGAUGAUGCAUGGGAAUCUACAACUCUAUCUCAAGUUUCCCAGACACACACUAAAGCUCUGCAGAAGAUUUUGGUGCCCCUGAGCUACUUUUACACAGCAAAGAAGACUUCUGAUGUGAUUCCUGGUGGCAGUGAGUAGUAUGCGGUGAUUUCCAUCAGAGUGGCUGGGUUUGUCAAAGCUUUAUUAGAGAUUCCUAUGAUUUGGAGAAAAAGCCAGGGUCCUAUUUUGGCAACUUUUCUGAUAUAGGUAAUAAAAACAAAAUGCCAUGAA